AAUUUAAACCCCUUCCAGAGUAUCAAUUGGAGGGCAAGUCUGGUGCCAGCAGCCGCGGUAAUUCCAGCUCCAAUAGCGUAUAUUAAACUUGUUGCAGUUAAAAAGCUCGUAGUUGAAUUUCUGCUGCAUCGUGGUUCUUCGCUAUGUCGAGUGAUCUUCGUUGUGGCUUAGUUGGGGCAUGUUUUCAUGACUCGACGUUUACUUUGAGAAAAUUAGAGUGCUUCAAGCAGGCUUUUGCCUUGAAUACUUUAGCAUGGAAUAAUGGAGUAGGACUUUGGUUCUAUUUUGUUGGUUUUAGGAGCCGGAGUAAUGGUUAAUAGGAACAGUUGGGGGCAUUCGUAUUUGACUGUCAGAGGUGAAAUUCUUAGAUUUGUCAAAGACGAACUACUGCGAAAGCAUUUGCCAAGGAUGUUUCCAUUAAUCAAGAACGAAAGUUAGGGGAUCG
rnacentral:rRNA from 1 species